rnacentral:rRNA from 1 species
AUUGAACGCUGGCGGAAUGCUUUACACAUGCAAGUCGAACGAUGAACCUUAGCUUGCUAAGGGGAUUAGUGGCGAACGGGUGAGUAAUAUAUCGGAACGUACCUUGUAAUGGGGGAUAACUAGUCGAAAGAUUAGCUAAUACCGCAUACGCCCUGAGGGAGAAAGUAGGGGAUCUUCGGACCUUACGUUAUAAGAGCGGCCGAUAUCUGAUUAGCUAGUUGGUGGGGUAAUGGCCUACCAAGGCGAAGAUCAGUAGCUGGUCUGAGAGGACGACCAGCCACACUGGAACUGAGACACGGUCCAGACUCCUACGGGAGGCAGCAGUGGGGAAUUUUGGACAAUGGGCGCAAGCCUGAUCCAGCCAUGCCGCGUGAGUGAAGAAGGCCUUCGGGUUGUAAAGCUCUUUCGCAAGGGAAGAAAACUUACAUUCUAAUAAAGUGUGAGGCUGACGGUACCUUGAUAAGAAGCACUGGCUAACUACGUGCCAGCAGCCGCAGUAAGAC